AUGGACAGCGGCGGUGUGUGGCCAUCGCUUCCGUCCGCGGCAGCGGCGGGAGGAGCCUCCGGCCCGGACGAGCCUCGCGACGCGCGCGUGGUCUACGCCGACCACGCGGCCAAGCCCCAGCUCGAUGCCGACGACGUCCGCCUCGCCAUCCAGGCCAAGGUCGACUUCUCCUUCUCCCAGCCGCCGCCAUGCGAGAAGAAAGUGCAUUUGGUUAGUUCAUUUGAUGAAGAGAUUUGGGACUUGAGGCUACAUUUCCAAGGAAUAGAUAAUAUGGAGAAAAAGUAUUCAGUUUCCUCAGAUAUCAGUUAUCUGACCAUAUUAGCAUUGGUUGAGUUGGAGGGCUAUGGCAUGGAUGCAUUUCUGACAUAUGUAAAGAAAGAGGGAAAGGGGCUGGAGGGUGUGGAGGCCCUGGAUAGUGAGGAGGCAUUAGAGGAAAUGCUUAACUUAUUUGUUGAUAAUAAGGUACUGAACAUCAGUGUCAGAAAAGCUACUGAUCCAAGCCCAGCAGAUGAGGAACAGAUCCCCAUUGAUCAUGUUGGUGAUCCUGUUGUUUACAGAGUUUCACAAGAAGGUGUUCUGUACCCUGCCUCUAAUGCUAGUUUGCCAGCUUUAACCCCUGAUGAGCCCUACAUGAACACACAGCAAAGCAGCAAUUUUAACAAAGGGAAAAAAGUUGUGGAAGAAGAAGAUGUAGAAGAAGAAGCAGAUGAAGAAGAAGAAGAUGUACCAGAGGAAGAAGAUGAAGUUGAAGAUGACAAAUCAUCUUCAGAUUUUGAGUUCUUUAGGGGUGAUUACAGAGGGGAGAAAAUUUCUUACAAAGCUUGGUGCAGGGGUGAAGAUGAGGCUGGCACUAAUACUGCAGAGCACUUUUGUGUAGCUAACUCAGAACCUUCUGAGUUUUGGGAGGAAGAACCAGUUGUUUCUGAAGAUGAAGUAGUAGAGGAUCCUGCUGUAACUACAAAAGCAGCCAAAAAGCUUAAGCCAGUUAGAAAACCUGGCCCAACUAGCAAGUCUCACAGUGAGCCUGAGCACAUCAAGUUUGAAGAUUAUGUCCCUGAAGCUGAUGAGUACUGUUUUCCAGGUGAUUUUGGCAUAAGUGAUGAAGAUGAUGCACCAAGGCUGCCAUCUGGAAGGAAGAGUAGGAAGAAGCAGAAGAAGGAGAGGAUAUGAAAACAUGGUUGUGAGUUUUACAUAGUUGCCUCCAAGAUAGCUCAUGAGGCAACUUUCAGUAUCAAGAAGAUGAACCUGGAUCACACUUGUGGAGCAAGUGGAGAGAACACAAAGGUGACAGUCAAUUGGGUUGCAAAGGUUUGUGAGGAUACAGUCAGAUCCAACCCUGGAGCUGGUGUUGACACAAUUAUGUCAUACACAAAGAAGAAGUUUGGUGUGCAUGUGCCUAAAAGCUUGGCAUAUAGGGCAAGGAAGCAAGCAGUUGAGGUUGUGCAAGGAGAUCACAAACUCCAGUAUCACAGAAUAAGGGACUACCUGCAGUGUGUGCUAGAUACUAACCCUGGCAGUAGGUGCAUAGUAACAACACAUGAGGACCCACUUAACCCAGCUCCUACCCUAAGGUUUCACUAUAUGUUUUACUGCUUGUUUGCAUGCAAGGAGGGUUUUCUGAAUGGAUGCAGGCCAUUUAUAGGUCUGGAUGGUUGCUUCAUCAAGCUAAGCACUGGUCAGCAGAUAUUGGCAGCUACAGGGAGGGAUGGCAACAAUAACAUCUUCCCAAUAGCUUUUAGUGUUGUUGAUAAGGAAGAGACAGACAGUUGGACAUGGUUUCUCACAUAG
rnacentral:rRNA from 1 species